AGGAUGAACGCUGGCGGCGUGCUUAACACAUGCAAGUCGAACGAUGAUGCCAGCUUGCUGGUGGAUUAGUGGCGAACGGGUGAGUAACACGUGAGUAACCUGCCCUUAACUCUGGGAUAAGCCUGGGAAACUGGGUCUAAUACCGGAUAUGACUCCUCAUCGCAUGGUGGGGGUGGAAAGCUUUUUUUGUGGUUUUGGAUGGACUCGCGGCCUAUCAGCUUGUUGGUGAGGUAAUGGCUCACCAAGGCGACGACGGGUA
rnacentral:rRNA from 1 species